GGACCCGCACAAGCGGUGGAGCAUGUGGUUUAAUUCGAUGCAACGCGAAAAACCUUACCUACACUUGACAUACUUCGAAUUUUCUAGAGAUAGAUUAGUGCCUUCGGGAGCGAAGAUACAGGUGCUGCAUGGCUGUCGUCAGCUCGUGUCGUGAGAUGUUGGGUUAAGUCCUAUAACGAGCGCAACCCUUACCCUUAUUUGCCAGCGGUUAGGCCGGGAACUAUAAGGGAACUGCCGGUAAUAAGCCGGAGGAAGGUGGGGACGACGUCAAGUCAUCAUGGCCCUUACGUGUAGGGCUACACACGUGCUACAAUGGGAGAUACAGACGGCUGCAAACCAGCGAUGGGGAG
rnacentral:rRNA from 1 species